AAAGGUUUGGUCCUGGCCUUAUAAUUAAUUAGAGGUAAAAUUACACAUGCAAAUAUCCAUUCACCAGUGUCAAAUCCCUAGGUUUUAUAACUUAAACCCUAAGGAGAUGAUAUCAAGCACAUACACUAUAGCUAAAGACAUCUUGCCUAGCCACACCCCCACGGGAUACAGCAGUGAUAAAAAUUAAGCAAUAAACGAAAGUUUGACUAAGUUAUACCUCUCCCAGGGUUGGUAAAUUUCGUGCCAGCCACCGCGGUCAUACGAUUAACCCAAACUAAUUAUUCUCGGCGUAAAACGUGUUUUAACAUAAUUACAAUAGAAUUAAAACCUGAUCAAUAUGUGAAAAUUCAUCAUCAGGCUUAAACUCAAUAACGAAAGUAAUUCUAAUAAAUUAAUACACGAUAGCUAAGACCCAAACUGGGAUUAGAUACCCCACUAUGCUUAGCCCUAAACCUAAAUAUUUAAGUAACAAAAUUAUUUGCCUGAGAACUACUAGCCACAGCUUAAAACUCAAAGGACUUGGCGGUACUUUAUAUCCAUCUAGAGGAGCCUGUUCUAUAAUCGAUAUACCCCGUUAUACCUCACCACCCCUUGCUAAUUCAGCCUAUAUACCGCCAUCUUCAGCAAACCUUAAAAAAGAACAAAAGUAAGCAAGAUCACACCCAUAAAAACGUUAGGUCAAGGUGUAGCCUAUGAGGUGGGAAGCAAUGGGCUACAUUUUCUUAUAAAGAACAUCACGCUAUCUUUUAUGAAAUUUAAAAGACAAAGGAGGAUUUAGUAGUAAAUUAAGAAUAGAGAGCUUAAUUGAAUAGAGCAAUGAAGUACGUACACACCGCCCGUCACCCUCCUCAAAUUGAACAAAAUAAACCCAUACAUAAUAAUAACAAAAAUUCAUGAGAGGAGACAAGUCGUAACAAGGUAAGUAUACUGGAAAGUGUACUUGGAUUAA
rnacentral:ncRNA from 1 species